UCUAAGUCAGAAUCCGGGCUAG
rnacentral:siRNA from 1 species